CUCAAGGCAGAACAAAAUAUGUUUAACCAGAAAUGAAAUAUUUAAAUGCAAAUGAAUAAGGAUACAUUACAUAAGUUAGGAAAGUAAGAUAAAAGUAACAUAAACAAAUCUACUCACAAAAGUCUCCAUAUCAUAUUUGACUUGUAGACAAAUGUAUUAGAAUAUGUUAAAACUUAGAAAACAACAGCAAAAAUUCCACAAGGUGUCUAGCACCCUCAAAUAAACUGAAGCUAAGCCUUACACAAAAUCUCACAAAACAAGGUCAAUGGAUAAAAAACAAACACAAAAUGAACAUUGAAACAUUACAUUAAAAAUGCUAAAACUUAAAAGUGUAUAGACUGACCCAGCACAGUACUCGUUCUUGAUAAGACUUGAAAAAGCAAUGUAGUUCAAGAUGCUUUAAAUAAACUGUGACUUAUUCCAAAUAAGAGUUACAAAAUAACUGAACAACCGUAAUAAAAAUGAUCAAUAAAAAAAGCUUUUAAACUAAUUGAAAACAUCAUAACAUUAAGCUUUAUAACAAUCAGACUCUUAUUUUUUUUUAAGCAGCCUUACAUGCAAUUUUGGCAGGAAAAAUUUUCUGAAAUCCCCUCCCACUCUGUGGCUUAAUGCAGUCCAAAUGUCCUCACUACAGAGAAUGGAGCAAAGGCAACAUUUCUCUUCAUAGAGAUAGCUUAUAGUCCAAACAGUUCAUUUAUUAUAAAUACCUGCAACAUUUCUGAUUUUGUCUUCCAAGUAGUCAGGAGUUUUCAUCAACUUUUUCUUCUUUGGUGUUCUCUUCUGAUAGAUUUUCACUUUUGCUUUAAGAUGAAAAUAAGUCAGAGGUUAUGCUUCAGGUAUGUGGAAAAGGCCAUGAAGAAACCUCUCAAGAAACCUCAAAGAUGUCAAGUACUCUCUGGCUCCAGAAAAAAAGGGAGAAAUGAGUUUCUUCAGUGAGAGGCUUGGAGCUCCUAUCCUGAGACCUCAGUGCUGCAGAAGGAAACGUUGCCCAUACUACUGGAAGCUGGCUCCAAUUACUAGCCUUUAAUCGAGAAGCAUGAAGAUGCUGAGAUACUAUCAUCCUACAGACACAUGGGUAUGAACUUGAAAUGGGAAACUUCAAUGAGAUGCUUCACAUGCCUGAAGUUCAGCUUGUGUAUAACUUCCUGACGGAAGACCGGUCAUAAAAUUUCUGAGUACUUCAAUGACUUAGGGGGCAAUGGGUCACUGAGUAUUAGGACACACAGUCUGUGUGAACACAGAAGAAAAUAUUACAAAACAGCUUUAUCAAUAAGACAAUAAAAACACUUCAAUAUGUUGUUUAUCCCAUCAGCUCUUGGCACUGUUAACUGAGUUACAGUUUCAGUGACACCAAAGCCUGUUUUAAUGAUAAGCUUCAGAAACUUAUAUAACAAACAGCAGUCUAGUAGAACAGUACAAAAUGUUUUCCCUGCCUUGACCAGAGUAGUGAGUAGGUAACUAGUACUUAGUUAAUUCACACAACUGAAAACUUUAGUAAGAGAAAGAUUUAAAGCCCUUUAAUGAACCCUCUCUGGCAGUAAGCAGUCCCAAGUGUUAUGGUUGAUAUCAAGUAGCUCUAGCUAGUUUGAAAAGUGUUAGUGAAACACUAAAAAAAAAAAAAAAGAAGAAGAAGAAGAACUUCCUGACGUCUCAUCUGCUAGAACAGGUACACAGCAGUCUUUACUUGGCCUGUACUGGGCAUCCUGGGUCUGAAGAGGGACAACAGGAAAUGCUGAAGAUGUGUAUUCAGUUUUACGGGAAGGAUGAAGCCCAGGCCAGCAGUAGCGCUAUGAGGAAAGAACUCUUUCUUCAGGUUAGAGCCAGGUAGAAAAUCCCACUCUUCCUCUGUUGAACAUAGAUGAGAAGGAAGUAUUCUCCUGCCAGUCUACUGUGUGAUAUGCCAGAGUCUGCAGCUGUGGAAGAGUCUUCAUUCAAAAACCUGAUAUUGUUU
ensembl:lncRNA